CAAAGGCAAAGUAAAUGUACAGUCUGAUUGCUGUUUCUGAGAUUUUUAUAUAAUAGUGGUUUGUUUUAGAUCAAAUUCACAUUGGGCCUUUUUUAAUUGAGGCUAAUUGUGGGAUAGCUAAGGGAAAUUAAAAUUUGAUUUUUUUAUUAUGAUAAUGUUCAUUGUAUAAUUUAUUUUGAAAAGGAAGCUUUUAAAAAAUAAGUUGAAUAGCUGCAUGAUGUGCCCCAUACUUCAAAAUCCACUGUAAGUCAUGUGCCUUCAUUGAUUGAUUGGACUAGUAUUUAUUGAUUACCUCUGUCCAGAGUCUUGCCCAUUCUCUUAUGUUCAGAUUUUCUCCUUUAAUGUCUCAUUUAAUUUAGUUUACCUCUUUUGCAGUCAUGGUCUGAAUUAAUCAUACAGUUUGAGUCAAAGUUUGCUGCCACCAGAUGGUAUGAGGCCUCAGACUCAGGAUAGAUGUCAGCCAUGCCUUCCUUUCCUCCCCAGAGCUCUUCAGGUGAGGUGUCUCUGGCCAGAGUCACCCACGAUGAUGGCCAUGGACUUGGAAAUCAGACCGUUGGGACCAUUUGGCUUCUGCCAUUUAGCUGUGUGACUUUGGGAAAUUUUCUUUAAGCAGGUAAAACGUUACUUAUUUUAUAAUGUUAUAUUCCAUUAGGUAAUACAUGUAAAGUAGUUAGCAUAAAGCUUGGCACUUGGUAACCUGAACAAAUAGUAUUACCUUUAAUAAAUGCUUAUUUUAUUAAACUCAAAGUUAGCAGAGGAUAGAUGUAAUAAAGAUUAGAGCAGAGAGAAAUAAAAUAGAGAAUAGAAAAGUAAACAAUAGGGACAAUCAAACCAAAAGUUGGUACUUUGAAAAGAUCGGCAAAAUUAACAAGUUUUCAGUUAAAUGGACUGAAUAAAAGAGAAGACUCAAGUUACUAAAUUCAGAAAUGAAAAUGAGGUUAUCAGUAUGGAUUCUACAGAAAAUGGAUGAGAAGAGAGUACUAUGAACAAUUGUACGCCGAAAAAAACGUUGGAUAGACUAGAUGAAAUGGUUAAAUCACGGAAAAAUAGAAACCUGAAUAAACCUAUAUAACUAGUAAAGGGAUUUAAUCAGUAAUCAAAAAUUUCCCAAAGACAAGUCCUGGUCCUGAUGGCUUCAAUGGUGAAUUUUAUCAAACAUUUAUUUUUUUAUUUUUAUUUUUAUUUUUUUUGUCUUUUUGCUAUUUCUUGGGCUGCUCGCUCGGCAUAUGGAGGUUCACAGGCUAGGGGUCGAAUUGGAGCUGCAGCCACCGGCCUACGCCAGAGCCACAGCAACGCUGGAUCUGAGCCGCGUCUGCAACCCACACCACAGCUCACGGCAACACCAGAUCGUUAACCCACUGAACAAGGGCAGGGACUGAACCCGCAACCUCAUGGUUCCUAGUCAGAUUCGUUAACCACUGCGCCAUGAACGGAACUCCGAAUUUUGUCAAACAUUUAAAGAAGAGUUAAUACCAAUCCCUCUCAAAUGUUACCAAAAAAUUGAAGAGGAGGGAAUCCUUCCUAACUCUUAUUCAGUCAGGUCAGCAUAACCCUGAUAAUCAAAACAGGCAAAGAUACUACCAGAAAAGAAAACUAAAAAUCAAUAUCUCUUAUAAACCAAUACAAAAAUCUUCAGCAAACUACUGGCAAAUAGAAUUCAGCAUCAUAUUAAAAGAAUUAUACACUAUGACCAAGUGGGGUGUAUUCCUGGAAUGCCAGGGUGGUUCAACACACAAUUCAACACACAAAAAUCAGUCAAUGUAAUGCACCUCAUCAAUAAAGUGAAUAGAAAACACCCCUCAUAGUCGUCUCAACCCAUGCAGAAAAAAGCAUUUAAGAAAAUUCAAUGCCCUUUCAUGAUAAAAACACUCCACUAAAUAGGAAUAGAAGGAAAGUGCUUUAACACAAUAAAGGUCAUGUAUGAAAAAUCCACAGCAAACAAGGAGAGGAUGCCUGCUUUCACUACUUAUAUUCACCAUAGUGCUGGAAGUUCUAUCCUGAGCAAUUAGGCAAGGAAAAGAAAGACAAAGCAUCCAAACUGGAAAGAAAGAAGUAAAAUUAUUUGUUUACAGGUAAUAUUAUAUGUAGAAAACCUUAAAGAGGCCAUGAAAAGUUCUUAGAACUAAUAAAUGAAUCCAGCAAAGUAGCAGCAUAGUAAGUCCACAUGCAAAAAUCAAUUUUAUCUCUAUGCACAGUGAACAAUUUAGAAAGGAAAUUACAAAAAUAAUUCCAUAUACCAUUAGCAUCAAAAAGAAUAAAAUCCUUAGGAACUAACCAAAAUGAAAGACUUGUACAAUGAAAACUAUAAAACAUUGCUGAAAAAAAUUUACAUAAAUAAAUGGGAACACAUUAAUAGAUUAGAAUAUUUAUUAUUGCUAAAAUAAUACUACCCAAGUGAUCUACAGAUAGAAUGGAAUCAUUAGCAAAGUCCCCAUGAAGUUUUUUUUUCUUUUUUUUUUGGCAGAAAUAAAAAAAUCCAUUCUAAAAUUCAUAUGGAAUCUCAAGGGGGCCCAAAUUGCCAAAACAUCUUGGAAAGGAACAAAACUGGAAGAUACACACUUCUUGAUUUCAAAACUUACUAUAAAGCCACAGUAAUGAAAACAGUGUAGCAGUUUUGACAUAAAGAGAGGUAUAUUACAUAGACCAAUGAAUAGAAUAGAGAGUCCAGAAAGAAACUCAUACUUAUGGUCAAAAGAUUUUUGGCAAGGUUGGCAAGGCCAUUUGAUGGGGAAAAGACAAUGUUUUCAAAAAACAGUGCUGUGAAAACUGUCCAGAUGCCAAAAAUGAAGUUGAAUCCUUAUGUAACAUCAUAUACAAAAUCUAACUCAAAAUGAAUCAAGGACCUAAAUGUACGACCCAAAAGAGUAAAACUCUUAGAAACAUAGGACAAAAGCUUCACAACAUUGUAUUUGGCACUUCUUAGAUACAACAUCAAAGGCACAGCAAACAAAAGGAAACAAUAGACAAAUCAGGCCUUAUGGAAAUAUUUUAAAUUUGUGCAUUCUAAGACACUAUCCACACAGUAAAAAGGCAACUUACAGAAGGGGAAAAAAUACUUGCAUAUCUGAUAAAGUUUUAAUAUAAAAACAUAGAGAAUUUUCAAAAACUCAAUGGCAAAACCCCUAACCCAAUUCAAAAAUAGGCAAAAGACUUUAAAUAGGUAUUCCUCCAAAGAAGAUAAAUGAAAGGCCAACAAGCGUGUGAAAAGAUGUUCAACAUCACUACUCAUUAGGAAAAUGCAAACCAAAACUUUAAUGAGAUACCUCAUACUCAUUAGGAUGGCUA
rnacentral:lncRNA from 1 species